CUAGGAUGUUGGCUCAGAAGCAGCCAUACAUUGAAAGAGUGCGUAAUAGCUCACUAGUCGAGAGGUCCUGCGCCGAAAAUAACCGGGGCUAAAACAUGACACCGAAGCUGUGGAUUUACAAAGAGAUUUGUGAGUGGUAGGGGAGCAUUGUUAUUUUAGGGAAGCGGAACCGAGAGGAGCCGUGGAGAAAUAAGAAGAGAGAAUGCCGGAAUGAGUAGCGAGAUAAAUGUGAGAAACAUUUAGGCCGAAUAUCUAAGGUUUCCUGAGUAAAGCUAAUCUACUCAGGGUAAGUCGGGACCUAAGGCGAGGGCGAAAGCCGUAGCCGAUGGACAACAGGUAGAGAUUCCUGUACUCCGUAUGAACAGAACUGUGGGGACGCGGUCAGAAAGUCUUAGCCGGGAGAGGAAAAACCGGCCCAAGCGAAGAACCGGUCAGGGAGGCAAAUCCCCCUGGCAACGGGAAAGCGUGAUGGAUACCGAACCAAAGAGUAGGGAAGAAGAUGAGCUGACCGCCGAGAAAAGCCACUAUAGCUUGAUACGGACCCGUACCGCAAACCGACACAGGUAGAUGAGGAGAGAAUCCUAAGGCCGACGGGAGAAGCAUUGUUAAGGAACUCGGCAAAAUGACCCCGUAACUUCGGGAGAAGGGGUGCCUGCGCGAGCAGGCCGCAGAGAAUAGGUCCAAGCAACUGUUUAGCAAAAACACAGGUCUAUGCGAAACCGAAAGGUGAAUUAUAUGGGCUGACGCCUGCCCGGUGCUGGAAGGUUAAGGGGAGAGCUUAGCGGGUAACUGCGAAGGUUUGAACUGAAGCCCCAGUAAACGGCGGCCGUAACUAUAACGGUCCUAAGGUAGCGAAAUUCCUUGUCGGGUAAGUUCCGACCCGCACGAAAGGCGUAAUGAUUUGAGCACUGUCUCGACGAUGCAUCCGGUGAAAUUGAAGUGCCAGUGAAGAUGCUGGCUACCCGCGCCAGGACGGAAAGACCCCAUGGAGCUUUACUCCAGCUUGAUACUGGGAUCCGGUGCUGUAUGUACAGGAUAGGCGGGAGGCUGAGAAGCCGUGGCGCCAGCCACGGGGGAGCCUUCGUUGGGAUACCGCCCUUACAGUACUGGGUUUCUAACCGCGGGCCGUGAACCGGUUCCGGGACAAUGUCUGGCGGGGAGUUUGACUGGGGCGGUCGCCUCCGAAAGGGUAUCGGAGGCGCUCAAAGGUCUCCUCAGAAUGGUCGGAAACCAUUCGCAGAGCGCAAAGGCAGAAGGAGGCUUGACUGCGACGCCGACGGGCGGAGCAGGUAGGAAACUAGGACUUAGUGAUCCGGUGGCAGUAAGUGGGAAUGCCAUCGCUCAACGGAUAAAAGCUACCCUGGGGAUAACAGGCUUAUCACUCCCAAGAGUUCACAUCGACGGAGUGGUUUGGCACCUCGAUGUCGGCUGGGGCUGUAGCAAGUCCCAAGGGUUGGGCUGUUCGCCCAUUAAAGCGGUACGCGAGCUGGGUUCAGAACGUCGUGAGACAGUUCGGUCCCUAUCCGGCGCGGGCGUAGGAUAUUUGCGGGGAGCUGCCCUCAGUACGAGAGGACCGGGGUGGACGGACCGCUGGUGCACCUGCUGGGCCGCCAGGCCCAUGGCAGGGUAGCCAAGUCCGGGAGGGAUAAACGCUGAAGGCAUCUAAGCGUGAAGCCCCCCCCAAGAUGAGAUAUCCCAGAAGGAGGCAACUCCAGAGUAAGACCCCUUAGAGACAAUGAGGUAGAUAGGCCUGAGGUGCAAGCGCAGCAAUGCGUUCAGCUGACAGGUACUAAUCGGUCGAGGGCUUAUCCAA
rnacentral:rRNA from 1 species